rnacentral:rRNA from 1 species
CUUGGGCCUGGCUGGCGGGUCCGCCUCACCGCGUGCACUCGUCCGGCCGGGCCUUCCUUCUGAAGAACCUCAUGCCCUUCACUGGGCGUGCUGGGGAAUCCGGACUUUUACUUUGAAAAAAUUAGAGUGUUCAAAGCAGGCCUUUGCUCGAAAACGUUACCGUGGAAUAAUAAAAUAGGGCGUGCGUUUCUAUUUGGUUGGUCCCUAGAGACGCCGCAAUUAUUAACAGGAACCGUCGGGGGGCAUCAGUAUUCAGUUGUCAGAGGUGAAAUUCUUGGAUUUACUGAAGACUAACUACUGCGAAAGCAUUUGCCAAAGGAUGUUUUCAUUAAUCAGUGAACGAAAGUUAGGGGAUCGAAGACGAUCAGAUACCGUCGUAGUCUUAACCGUAAACUAUGCCGACUAGGGAUCGGGCGAUGUUCUUUUUCUGACUCGCUCGGCACCUUACGAGAAAUCAAAGUUUUUGGGUUCUGGGGGGAUUAUGGUCGCAAGGCUGAAACUUAAAGAAAUUGACGGAAGGUCACCACCAGGC